CAGCCGCCGCGGGAACACAGAGGGUGCGAGCGUUAAUCGGAUUUACUGGGCGUAAAGCGUGCGUAGGCGGCUAAUUGAGUCGGAUGUGAAAUCCCCGAGCUUAACUUGGGAAUUGCAUUCGAUACUGGUUAGCUAGAGUGUGGGAGAGGAUGGUAGAAUUCCAGGUGUAGCGGUGAAAUGCGUAGAGAUCUGGAGGAAUACCGAUGGCGAAGGCAGCCAUCUGGCCUAAUACUGACGCUGAGGUACGAAAGCAUGGGGAGCAAACAGGAUUAGAUACCCGAGUAGUCCCUGUCUCUUAUAC
rnacentral:rRNA from 1 species